rnacentral:lncRNA from 1 species
AGCAGGUGCUAACGGUCCCUGGAAACCAGCUUUUAAGACAGAACUUAGAGGGGUCAAAAGACAUUUCCAGCUGAAAACGGUUUUGAAAUCUAAGAACCCUGCAUAAUCCAGAUCACGGCUGUCAAAGCUCAGUGGGGAUUCCAGUAUGGAAGCAGACACAGUUUACCUCCCUACUUCUUUUCCCUGAGCACCUACUGUGUGCCCUUGCCAGUGCUCUUAACAACUGAGCCUCUACCGCCUUUGCCUGUGAUCGCUUUCUUAGAAAGCCUCUUCUGUCCUUCCCAAGUCUAAUCCUCCUGUACUUCCUCCAGGCCUUCCUAGCCCCAUCUUCUAACCUGCUAGGGUUUUCUCACGUGGGUUCUUCUUUGAGGGCUCUCUGGCUUCCCUACUGAGCUGUAGCUGCCAAAGUUGAAGGGCUGCGUCUCCCUUGCGUCUCCCCAGUCUUUACAGCUCCUGAAACACACUAAGGUUCUGAGUUCUCUGUUGCUGUGGGACCCGAAAAAAAGCCAGCCAGUAACUAUGAGCUUCUAUUUCCUCACUUAAAAACCAUAGAAAACCAUCCGAGAAGAGGACGAGUGAAGUGCCUGGCAAGAGUUCGAGUCUUUCCAAUGAUCUAAGAAACCAUAAGCAUUAUUUCCAAAGCCUACGCUGACGGCUCUAGUUUAAAAUGCAUAAUCAAGCUACAGUGCUGUGUUGAAGUCACUGCGGGAAGGGAUGCCUAUCCUGACUAUGCCACACAGUCUGCACCGUGCGUGACAGGUAGUCUAGCUUCCUUGAAGUGCACUGAGACUUGUAAUGCAGCCUGCUCUGGCACACAGUCCUGCAGCUUGCAGAUGAAGUGCCCAGCUGUGCGGCUGUAAGGCUGAGCUCAGAGGUCAGUUGAACUCUCAGGAGCUCUCAUGUGACUACUGCCCUUUUCGAUGUACUAUCUGCAAGAGCGCAUCUGCUUGCCCUCUGUCUGUUACUGGGGAAGGCUGCUGGCCUCUUCCCUGGGCAUCCUGAUUGUGCUAACUUCCUUCUGUACUGUCAAGAUAAGGAACAUGUCUUGAUUUAUCAAGGGUCUCUGUCACCGUCACUUGGAUCUUAUUAAUGACAUUUAUCAACAUGGUGGGUGUAUGAUCUUUUAAUCUCAUGACUUGUAAAAUACUUUUAAAAAAUAUCAAAUGAGUCUUUCUUUGCUGGAAUAUAUAGGUUAUUUUAUUUUAAUGUAAAAAUUAAAAUGGAACCAAAUGUAUUUAGAAAUGACAUGAUGCAGUUUCUGUCUCUAGUGGAGUCUCACUAUGAAAAAAAUAGAUUUCUUCACUUUAUUGCAUUGAAGAAACUGGAUAGGUUAUUUAAAAAAUUAAAAAUUGGACUAUCUUUUACUUUUUACACCAAGGUGUCUACAAAUACACCAGUGGCUAGAGGUAAGCUAUGUUGCAAAAAGGGAAAGGUACAAAGCAAAUUGGCUCACUCUUCAUAAUUUGGGGUGGGGGUGGCAUUUCUAAAACCAUGAAGAAGCACCCUAAAACUAGCCUAGGAGAUUCUACAAACACGUCUAAAGCAAAUGAGAACCUGGACUAGCACAUUUGCAGUUCAUAGCAGAGUGCUCUAAAAUCCCUGAUGUUAUACCGCAAAGGCUCUGCGGAAUUGGGAGAAGGGAGAGACCUGGAAAACACCGAUUUCCCACAGAAAAGGGAGCAGCGGUCCAGACGUGUGCAAUGUGUUCGCCUCUGCUCCAAGCAGGAAAGUGCACACUGUGCUGUCAGCUUAGCAGAGCUCCUCACAGGGGACAAAUGGAGGUGACUCUGGGAAAGUCUGAGAAAGUCUCGGAAGCCUGAGAAAAUGGCAAUUUGCAUCCAGUCUUUUCCCGACAAAUGUACCUGCUUCUGUAUAAAAUGGUGAGUCUCCAAGAUUAUGUUACUGUUGAUUAUUUUAAAGUUGGGUCGGAUAGAGAGUGUUCAGAUGUCUGUCAAAGAAAACUAUUAAGCCAUACUAUAAUCUCUCCAGAAAAUGGAAGAGCAGGCUAUUGUGAAAAGAGGUCAAAAGCUUUCUUGAAGUUGGUAUAGGAAGGGCUUCAGGACCCCAAAGGAUGGAUAAUCAGAGAGCGAAGAUGCAGGUACAGCACUGGUCUUCUAACACUGUUGGUAGGGAAUGAUUGCUGUCACCACACUGGUUGUGUGACCUGGAGACCUACCACGUUCCAGAGUUAGCUACAAAUCUUGAUCAAACGCCAUGAAAAAUAUAUCAAUCAACUUUGUCUACUGUCCAAACUUAAUAGACACAUUAGUGGGAAAAAAACAGAAUAAAUAUUUCCUUGAGUAGACUCGAAAUUAUCUGGUGGCAUUUCCCUUACUGUCUUAGCCACAUUUCUCAUCUCCACGACAAAGCACCCAACAGAAGUUAGUUUUAGCCCACAGUUCAGAGGGUGCCAGCCACCAUGGUGUGGAGGCAUGACAGCCAGGGAGGCUCUGUCUCUGGUGGCAGGCGCUUGCAGCGGGGCUUAUUCAGGCUGAAUAAAACAAAAGCAGAUAUUAUGCUCAAGGCCUGCCCCUCUCCUCCCCUUGUAUCCCAUCUAGGCUAGCUACAGCACAAAUCCAAAUGGUCUCUGGACCUCUUAAAACAGUGCCACCAACUGGGAGUACUUAUUCCAACAAAUGAGCUUGUCAGGAUAUUCUGCUUCCAGUUUCAGACCUCUGUCGUUUAUACUGGCACCCUCACGAAUGCCAUUCAGGUCAGGCCUUGAAGAGAUGAGUGAGCACUUCC